rnacentral:rRNA from 1 species
UACGUAGGGUGCAAGCGUUAAUCGGAAUUACUGGGCGUAAAGCGUGCGCAGGCGGUCUUGCAAGACAGAUGUGAAAUCCCCGGGCUCAACCUGGGAACUGCAUUUGUGACUGCAAGGCUGGAGUACGGUAGAGGGGGAUGGAAUUCCGCGUGUAGCAGUGAAAUGCGUAGAUAUGCGGAGGAACACCGAUGGCGAAGGCAAUCCCCUGGACCUGUACUGACGCUCAUGCACGAAAGACGUGGGGACAAA